rnacentral:rRNA from 1 species
CGUAAAUUAUUCAAUGGGAAUAUCUUCCCGAAAUAGUGACAAAAAAUACUAAUGUAUUAAACUUUGUUUAGUACAAUUGGAAUGGAAACAAUCCAAAACCCUUAUUGAGUAACAAUUAGAGGGCAAGUCUGGUGCCAGCAGCCGCGGUAAUUCCAGCUCUAAUAGCGUAUAUUAAUACUGUUGCAGUUAAAACGCUCGUAGUUGAACUCAGAAUUAUUACAAGUUAUUUUACUUGAUUGUAAAGUGCUUGCUUAAUUCUUAUCUACUAGAUACUCUAUUCUGUACUUAAUUGUAUGGGAUAUCACCUAGCCAGUGGAACUUUGGUUGAAUAAUGCCUUUUUUAAUACCAGAGUGUAAAAACUUGAAGUGUUAAUUUGGGAUCACAUUAUUUUAUUGAAGUGGGGUUCUAGUUAAUUUACUUUGAGUAAAUUAGAGUGUUCAAAGCAGCCUCUUGGGGCUUUGAAUAGAUUUAGCAUGGGAUAAUAGAAUAGGAUUUGAUAAUCUAUUUUGUUGGUUUGAAUUAAUCAAAUAAUGAUUAAUAGGGACAGA